rnacentral:rRNA from 1 species
CCUACGGGUGGCAGCAGUGAGGAAUAUUGGUCAAUGGACGAGAGUCUGAACCAGCCAAGUAGCGUGAAGGAUGACUGCCCUAUGGGUUGUAAACUUCUUUUAUAUGGGAAUAAAACGUUCCACGUGUGGGAUUUUGUAUGUACCAUAUGAAUAAGGAUCGGCUAACUCCGUGCCAGCAGCCGCGGUAAUACGGAGGAUCCGAGCGUUAUCCGGAUUUAUUGGGUUUAAAGGGAGCGUAGGUGGAUUGUUAAGUCAGUUGUGAAAGUUUGCGGCUCAACCGUAAAAUUGCAGUUGAAACUGGCAGUCUUGAGUACAGUAGAGGUGGGCGGAAUUCGUGGUGUAGCGGUGAAAUGGUUAGAUAUCACGAAGAACUCCGAUUGCGAAGGCAGUUCACUGGACUGCAACUGACACUGAGGCUCGAAAGUGUGGGUAUCAAACAGGAUUAGAUACCCCUGUAGUC